UGAAACAAUUUCUAUUGGUUGUUUCACCUGUUGCUUUCAUCAGGAUUGGUUAAUCUGACUGUCAUUCACGAAACUGGCCAAUGACAGCCUCGCGCGCCUUUUUGCUAGUGCAGUUUGAAAAUAUACUAAUCAGUUUGGUGAUGUGCUGCUACUGAUCCGCAAGAUUACGCGCUCAGUUCCUGAUUAUGUGCCUGUUAAAUUCUUAUUGUAAACUAAUUUGAACUGUGAGAUGUCAACGGAGAACAGAAGCUGGAAUGUGAACACAGAGGAAGGGGCAGACUGGAUGUGUGAGAUCCCGAAAACAUAUGGCGAUGUCAGGUGGCACAAAGAAAAGGAAAUAGAACUUGUCACCAUCUUCAGUCCUUUAUUUUAUUCACUGGAGAACAUCACAGCCUUCAGAUGUGUCAUAUCAGGAUAAAUGCAACUGCAGGACUCGUCGGGCCCACCCCACUACAGAUUCACCAAGGAUCCAGCUGAUCACUGCCAAUUUGAAGGAGGAUUGUCCUUUAUCUGCUACAUUGCACUCUCACAUCUGGUAUGGAUUCACUGACUUUUUGUAAUGUGUGAGAUGUUUUGAUUUUAGUAAAUGUAGUGAUUUUGCUUAAUUUUAUUCUACAUAAUUUUCUUAAAAGGAACGUUCACCCCAAAAUGAAAGUUCUGGCAUCAUUUACCCUUCAUCACCCUUAUGUUUUUCCAAACCUGUAUGAAUUUCUUUCUUCUGUUGAAGACAAAAAGAUUUUUUGAAGAAUGUUGAUAACCAAACAGUUCAUAGUAGCCAUUAACUUUCAUAGUAGGAAAAAAAAUAUUAUGGAAAUCAUUGGGGCCCAUCAACUGUCUAGUU